AAGAGGAAUCAGUUCUGGACAGGAGGAUGUCUCCCUGCCUUUGCCUUCCCCGCCUCCCCCCACAUCCUUCUCUGGAAAGAAGAAUGAGGAUGAGAAUGACCUCCAUCUGCAGGACGAGAGCAGAUUAUGGACAGCAGAGCUAUACCUUGUGAUUGAACAGAAUCUGAUCAGGAACUUUGGCCUGAAAGCUCGGCAGACUGAAUGUUUCAGUGUGAUGCAGCUCAUUUAAGUCAUCCAAACCUCAAGAGCUCCUUUCUCCUGACCUUUGACAUUGGCUGGUGCCUGGUGUGCAUCGUGGGGAGUUCCCCAAGGACCCAGAUGCCUGCCACUGUGCCAUCAGGGAGGUCUGGCCUCCAAAGGCCUGGGCAGAUCCUGGGAGAGAAAAAA
rnacentral:lncRNA from 1 species